CUCGUUAGAUCACCGAAGUUAAGCAUCAUUGGGCGUGGUCAGUACUUGGGUGGGUGACCACCUGGGAACACUGCGUGCCGUU